rfam:Triticum aestivum genome assembly, contig: Triticum_aestivum_CS42_TGACv1_scaffold_501926_6BL
CAGCUACUCCCUCCGUCCGAAAAUACUUGUCAUCAAAAUGAACACAAAAGGAUGUAUCUAGAACUAGGAUGUAUCUAGAACUAUAGUUCUAGAUACAUCCUUUUGUGUCCAUUUUGAUGACAAGUAUUUUCGGACGGAGGGAGUAUGAG